GACAGAGGGUGCAAACGUUGUUCGGAAUUACUGGGCGUAAAGUGUGCGCAGGCGGCUCCGCAAGUCGAGUGUGAAAUCCCCGAGCUUAACUUGGGAAUUGCGCUCGAAACUAGGGAGCUGGAGUGUGGCAGAGGAAGGUGGAAUUCCUGGUGUAGCAGUGAAAUGCGUAGAUAUCAGGAGGAACACCGAUGGCGAAGGCAGGUCUCUGGGCUGACACUGACGCUCAUGCACGAAAGCGUGGGGAGCAAACAGG
rnacentral:rRNA from 1 species